rnacentral:tRNA from 1 species
UAGCUCAGUGGUGGAAUUCUUGCCUUCCAUGCAAGAGACCUGGGUUCAACUCCCAG